rnacentral:rRNA from 1 species
CAGUAGCCGCGGUAAAACGAAGGUCCCGAGCGUUGUUCGGAAUCACUGGGCGUAAAGGGAGCGUAGGCGGCGUGGUAAGUCAGAUGUGAAAUCCCGGGGCUCAACCCCGGAACUGCAUCCGAUACUGCCAUGCUAGAGGAUUGGAGAGGUAGCUGGAAUUCUUGGUGUAGCAGUGAAAUGCGUGGAGAUCAAGAGGAACACUCGUGGCGAAAGCGAGCUACUGGACAAUAACUGACGCUGAGGCUCGAAGGCCAGGGUAGCGAAAGGGAUUAGAUACCCCAGUAGUCCCUGUCUCUUAUAC